rnacentral:rRNA from 1 species
UACGAAGGGUGCAAACGUUGCUCGGAAUUAUUGGGCGUAAAGCGCACGUAGGCGGCUUAGCAAGUCGAAUGUGAAAUCCCUCGGCUCAACCAAGGAAGUGCAUCCGAAACUGGCAGGCUUGAGUACUAAAGAGGGUCGCGGAAUUCCCGGUGUAGAGGUGAAAUUCGUAGAUAUCGGGAGGAACACCUGUGGCGAAAGCGGCUCACUGGACCAUAACUGACGCUGAUGCACGAAAGCUGGGGGAGCAAACAGG